AGAAGGAAGAAACCCUUUAAGGUUUUUAACCACUUGAGGAAGAGUAAAGAGCGAGAAAGUGUCAUAUUUGGCAGAUUACUGAAGCCCUUAUAAGGAUGUUUCAAACAGAAAGAGGAAGAGGAAGAGAGAGAGGCGACUUUAAGUGUUACAGCAGCCACAGCACAAUGUGACAAAUCUGAGAGGAAGUCGCAGAAGCUUCUAUCCAAAAAGCAAAUAUAUACUCAGGAGAAUGGAAGAACACAAUAAGAUUGCACAGAGAAGUGGCCUACUGACUGUCUCCACCCAUCAGACCUGGAGCACCCUAUAUGGAAACACCGACAGGUAACAAACUCACAGUGUUCUGAUGGGAUGGACUGGUGGAGGCUGCUUGCUCUAAGCACUGAAACAGGUAGAGUCCUAAUAUGGAAAUAUAACCAAAAUGAGAUUGACAGAUGGGAACUAAGAGUGACUGAUGUAAUACACAACAUUUACACAUCGAAUACAUGUUUCAAGUGGUUCAUAGAAGAAAAAUAAUAACUUUCUUCUGAAAAUAAUCUUUUUUCAGCAUUCAUUUCCCCCUGAAGAACAUCUCGUGCAAUGGAAAUGUUCUGUGGGUGUCAAAUGUUCUUGAUGGAAUCAUCAAUGCCUAAAAAACAUCAUUAGUUUACUUUCAUGCAAUUAUUUUAAUAUGUCUUCCACAAGUACAAACAAUGCAGGUAUUUUUAUUGGCUGGCAAUGUGUCAGUUGCUUACUUUAGGGGCAUGUCAGAGCUCAGUGCUUUGCAUUUAGUUGAGAUAUGUGGAAGAAGCCAGCAUUAUUUAGUAUAAUUAGGCUGUUGCACCCUAAAGGUUCUAAAUUGGUGUUUUUUUUUUUGCCAAAAUGCCAUAGAAGAACCAUGUUUGUUUCUCUAAAGAACCUUUCAGCAAACUCUUCUAAAGGAUUUUUUUGUUAAGAGCAUUUUAUAUCACAUAAAGAUCUUUUUUUCCACUGUUGAAGAACCUUCUGUUCAAUGGAAUUAUCUAUGGAUUUUAAAGGUUCUUCAUGAAAUCAGUGAUGUCAAAAAAUAACUUUUUUUUUAAAGAAGGUAAUGGACAAUGUAAAUAAAAUCAAGAAGAAGUCAAGAAAGAACUAUUGCACCCUAAAAAUGAAUACAAUGUAUAGGGUUACAAAAGUAUGUCUGCUAAAAAGGAGAGGAAGGCAGUAUUUAGUAGCUGUCAUUCCAGGAAUGUAAAUGUGUCAGAACAUGCUCAAACUCAGGCAUUUAAAGAUUCAGUUUCUCUUUACGCACACAGUGAAAUUAGGUAAAGGAGAUUCUGCAUGUUAGCUGUUUCUCUUAGUGAAAAUUCAGUUAUUUGAUUGGAACAAUAUAUAGAUGGGAAACUUUACUUUCUGGAUGCAUCGUGUAUUAUAUUCAUUCAUUCAUUCAUUUUCUUUUCAGCUUAGUCCCUUUAUUAAUCUGGGGUCGCCACAACGGAAUGAACCGCCAACUUAUCAGCAAAUGUUUUAUGCAGCCGAUGCUCUUCCAGCUGCAACCCAAUCACUGUGAAACAUCCAUACACACUCAUUCGCACACAUACACUACGGACAGUUUAGCUUACCCAAUUCACCUAUACCACAUGUUUUUUUGGACUUGUGGGGGAAACCGGAGCACCCGGAGGAAACCCACGUGAACAUGCAAACUCCACACAGAAAUGCCAACUGACCCAGCCGAGGCGCAAACCAGCAACCUUCUUGCUGUGAGGUGAUUGUGCUACCCACUGUGCCACCGUGCUGCCUGUGAAUUAUAUUAUGUGGUUUAAAAAUCAUGUAAAUAUUUUAAGAAUUAUACACUAUCAUUCAAGUCUUUUUUUAAAGAAAUCGAUACGUUUAUGUAGGAAGGAUGAAUUUAAUUUGUUCAUGGUGCGUCAUGAAUAUAUUAUUCACAAUUAAUAAUCACAUUUUUAAAUAAUUAAAUAAAAGACGUUCUAUUUUUAAA